rnacentral:rRNA from 1 species
UACAGGGGGGGCAAGCGUUGUUCGGAAUUACUGGGCGUAAAGGGCUCGUAGGUGGCCAACUAAGUCGGACGUGAAAUCCCUCAGCUUAACUGGGGAACUGCGUCCGAUACUGGAUGGCUUGAGUUUGGGAGAGGGAUGCGGAAUUCCAGGUGUAGCGGUGAAAUGCGUAGAUAUCUGGAGGAACACCGGUGGCGAAGGCGGCAUCCUGGACCAACACUGACGCUGAGGAGCGAAAGCUAGGGGAGCAAACGGG